rnacentral:misc_RNA from 1 species
AUGAGAAGUUUAAUUUUGAUUGCGAGUCGAGAAUAAGGGAGAAAUAAAAAUUAAAAAAGUUUGCAAAAUUACUGCCGUAAUUCGAUUACUAUAUGAGAAUUUCACGACACAAAUGUCCCUUUGCUUUUUAAAGAUUAAUUUAGGGAACGAGAGAGAAACUUGAAAACUUUUAUUUCUUUUUUUUUCUUAUUUUCUUAAUAGCAUAUUCCUGAAAUUAGAUUUGUCUCUCUCAUUUAAAAAUACCACUUAGAAAAGUCAAUCGAAAGCGAAUUCCUUGAAUGGCGCGUCUAACAGUUUGUAUCGGACAAAUAAUGACUUCUAGAUGAACGGAUCAAACUAGAUAAUUAAAAUUGAUAGUUGUAAGAUUACGUACACUUGUACCGCUUGCCGUUUGGACACUUGCCAUCGACCUGCUACUUCGCAACUUGUCGCGAAAUAGGAUCAACGCGCGAAUAAAUUGAAUGAAAUCUUUCGGUGCGCACGCGAUGCGUUAUUAUAUAAUUUAUUACUUAACUUAUUUAACUCGAUUAAUACCAGAGUGCUGAAAGUUCCAUCCCGUUUCAUUGUAAAUCUUACAUUAUAACAAAUUUUAAAAAAGUAAAAAAAAAUUAGGGAAGAUAAAAAUGGCACACUUUUUAAAUUUUGAGUUUCCAAUUGCAUAUGCAAAUUACAUGUAAAUUGUAUAAUAUUUAACUUCGUCAAUUUUCUGAUGAUUUUCCAUUGUGAAUUUUACAUUAUAACAAAUUUAAAAAAAAGUAAAAAAAAAUUAGGGAAGAUAAUCGCAAAAAUGGCAUCAUUUAAAAAAUUUUGAGUUUCCAAUUGCAUGUGCAAAUUACAUGUAAAAUGCAUAUAAUAUUUAACUUCGUCAAUUUUCUGAUGACUUUACUCAUUCAGCGAAACGACUUGUCCAUGCGAGGGAACAUUAUUUCGCGUGUCUAGAGAGAGAAAAAGGGAGAGAGAUUGACUAGUAGUAAAAUCGGUCCCUUGUAACUACAUGUAUACCAGCAGUAGACGACGGAGCGUCGAGUCAGACACGGCGCUUGGUGGGGCGACAGUUAAAUAGCUGCCUAACGGGCUUUGCGUGAUAACGGACAAACGGAAAGAGUUUAAUAUAUAUCGCGAGUAUAUAUACAUAAUUAAUAAUACUCAUUUGCCCAACAAUUCUUACAUUCUCGCUGCGGAGUAAACUUUCCUCGGAUAUUUUAUGCACGAAUCCCCUCGUGUGAUUGUCCCGCGACACGAGUUAAAGAAAAAUAAUAACCGCUAACGGGGAGAACCGCACGAAAAUUUUUCCAAUUUAAUUUCGAUUAAACAAUCAUCCCGUAAUCGCCCGACUACGCAGUAACAGGAGCGUCUGAAACCGCAAGAAGAUUCACAAUAGCGGAGCAAGAGCUUCGAGAUCGAUAUACGGCGCUUCGUUUAAUCGGUCGAGAUAUAAUCUAUCGAGAACCCGCGAAUGUUCACAUCCAUAUCGAGCAGUCGAGACAACUUAAGCCUAACAUCAAGAGAGCUCCAAAUCCUCUUAUCUGCGACACGUCGUACGCGCGUUAAGCAUCCGGAAUUAGCAGCGCGCGUGCUGCUGUCAUGCACCGCUUUAAACCAAUUCCAAUAUCGUCAUAUCGGACGUUAACAGACGAGAAUAUAUAGCUCACUUGGCAGAAAUGAUCGCGCGACCGACAUAAAUAAACAUAAGUAACAUACCUGAUCGGGCCGAUCCAAGGUCAGGUCACCAGGCCGGGAAUACACGAUGUUAACUUAUCCUCGUCUCUUCUUUCGGGGCUGUCGUGUCCACGGAUGUUGCGACGUAAAAGCCAACGAAGCCGGCUGCAGCGAUCGAGACGAGACGUCGUUGAAGGGAUGAGAGGCGAUGAAGCGCGGGGAUGAAGCGGGGCAGCGAGAGAGGCUUCGCCCCCGUUUCUGCGACGAGGACAACGAUCGACUUCACUGCCGCUCGCGGCGAACGCUCGCCAGCGAGCGAGGGCGCGCGAGGGACUGCGGGGUGAAAAAUCUACUCGCUACUCGACGACGACGUACUCGCGCCGCGUAUCCGCUGCGACGUCUGACGACGAUCGUCGCGGUGCGCGGAGCAUUCGCGACCGACUGUACGACCCGACCUAACCUCCCCGAGCUUCGCCGAACGACUGGCGGGCUUGAGCUUGAGCGCCCGGCGCGCGCGUUCCGAUUAUCCCCUCCACUCGCCACCUUUCUCCCUCCCUCCUAACGGUAUAAAUUUGUACUCGCGCUGCCACUUCGCGCCGCUGGAGGGAAGAGCGGGACAUUUAAAGAGAUUCAAAUAUUUUUUGACGAUAAUAUUUGAUGUUUAUAUUUAAAAAAAAAAAGGAAAAAUCUUUCAAUAUCAAGGAGCGUUUUUUAGCGAGGAUAUUUUUAUCCUUGUUGGUUGCCGAAUGUAAACAAAGAUGAAAUAAUUGAAUGUUUUAUGUCACUGUGUCCUCUUUUAUACUCUGUCUCGUUUGCUGAAGAACGCUCGAUUCAAUGUUUUAAAUAAAUAUAUACGUACAUACCGUUGUUGAACGAACAUUAUAUAUUAUUGAACUUGACAUAAGCACAUUGACGAUUCAUAAACAAUACAUUAGUCGCGAUCGUUAUUCUCUUAGUUUAGUCUCUAAUAAAUAUACGUAAACAAUAAUAUGAAGAAAUAUAAAAACGUUCUUGCUUGAAUAAAAGUCGCGGAUAGUAUAAAGAAAUCUAAAGACAUUGUAAAAUAAUAAAAACACUGUUGUUUGAAAUAAAAGUCGCGGAUGGAGUUGGCGUGGAUGCAGUGGCCAUGACUAUUUUUCUCUAGAGCGGAAUGCACGCAUAUCCGGUCGCUCGCGUUUCCGCUCCACAUGCGCACGUCGCUUUAAGUUUGGCGCGAAAGCGCGCGCCGUGUCGUGUCGACGGCCCAGCUGGCGCCAGCAGCGUCCUGGAAAACAGAAAGCCAAACCGGUCAUGAGAGGCUAGUUAACGACUGUGUGCCGCGCUCAUCACGCUUGCGAAGAUUCUGUUUUCUGGCGGAAUAUCGCGAUACAUUACGCGGACGCCGCGGGAACGACACGACGGCCAGCCGGUAUCUCGAAAGAUGGGAGCGUACCUGUCGGAGCCAAUUACGAAGAAGGAAUCGAGCGACGAAACGGGAAAAAAUGUCGCGUACGGCGCGAGCUCCAUGCAGGGCUGGCGAAUCAGUCAGGAGGAUGCACACAAUUGUUGCAUAGAUUUCGAUGACAAUUGCUCACUGUUCGCCGUAUACGAUGGUCAUGGUGGACAUGAAGUAGCAACAUAUUGUUCGCGUUACCUUCCUGACUUCAUUAAACAGACGGAAGCUUACAAAAGAGGGGACAUCAGGCAAGCUCUAAUAGAUGCUUUCCUGGGUUUUGAUGCUACUCUCACAAAACCAGAGGUAGUCAAAAUUCUCCAUGAACUUGCAGAAACAUCAACGACAGAGAAGAAAGAAGGUGACAACGAGUCUGAUGAGGAAGAGAAUGUUAGUAAUCUGUGUAUGGAAGCGACAAUGCCGUUGGAGCAAGUAAUGGCAAAGUAUAAGUCAGAGAUGUUGAACACUCAUAUAAAAAGCCUGAAAGGUGAGAAGUGCGGGAAGCGCGCAUUUGCGAGUCCUUUCCUGCGAGGUCGAAGGGAACGAGAGAAAGCAACCUGUUCGUCUCUUGGCGCAGGAUGUUCGUCGUCGCCAUCUCCACCACCUCCAUCAUCGUCAUCCUCGUCGACUACGGCUGCCUGGAAUACCAACGAAACAGAUGUUAGUAGUUCCAGUCAACCGUGUGGAUCAACUCUGUCUAGCACAGUGGAGCAAAAAGAAUCCGAAUGUCCAGGAAGCAAUGAAGCCGAGCAAGUACUAGAUUCGACGACAAGCAAUGGCAAUGCUGCUCAUGUAUCACCACCAGUAGGAUCUACUGCGGAUGUAGAACCUGCUAAAUCAAUGGAUAUGCCCGACAGUUCGGAGGACGUGAAAGAGAAAGUUUCGAGUCCCGGCAAGACGCCGCCAUGUGCGGAGUCUAAUGUGAACGAAGUGGAAGUUAAUGGCGAGGAAUUGAAAAGGAUCGGAGAUGCAGAUAGCAGUAAGGGUGGAGGAGACAAUGUAUCUAGCAGUUCCUGCACUCCCGUAGAAAAUGGUGAUGCAGAUCAGCAAGAACGAAUAACUAGCAGUGGUCGAAGAAGAAUUCAACCUGUGGAUCUUUACCAAAGCUUACUGAAAAAGGACAGUGAUGAUUCCGAAGAAGACGAGGACGAUGAUGAAAAUGACGAGACGUUUGAUGGUGUUCCUGAAAGUGACGAGGAUGAUACAGAAGAUAUUGACGAAGAUGAAACCGAUGAUGAUGAGGAAAUCGAAGAAGAAGAUAUAGAUGAUUCUGAUGAGGAUCCUGACAUUAUGAUAAACAUAGAAAAGCCUGGUUCGGAUAGCGGAUGCACAGCAGUGGUAGCGAUACUCAAAGGAAACGAGUUAUAUGUAGCCAAUGCUGGAGAUUCUCGAUGUGUUUUAUGCAGAGAUGGUCAGGCAGUUGAGCUUAGCUUGGAUCACAAACCCGAAGACGCACCAGAAAUGGAACGUAUAGUAAAAGCAGGUGGAGAAGUGACAGGCGACGGUAGAGUGAAUGGCGGUCUCAAUCUUUCGAGGGCGCUCGGUGAUCAUUCGUAUAAGCAAAAUAUGGUAUUACCAGCCGAAGAACAAAUGAUUUCCGCUUUACCAGACGUAAGGCAUAUUACGAUUGAACCAGCAAAAGACGAAUUUAUGGUGCUCGCAUGCGAUGGUAUAUGGAACUUUAUGACCAGUCAAAACGUUGUCCAGUUCGUGCGCACUCGUUUGUCGCAAAAUUACGAGAACAUCUCGAAAAUCUGUGAAGAGCUAUUUGAUCAUUGCCUUGCACCGGAUACUCUUGGUGAUGGAACAGGUUGCGACAACAUGACUGCCGUAAUAGUUAAGUUUACAAUGCCGGCGGCCGCAACUGCUAAAAGUAACACCGUUGCUGAAGUAUGCGUCACAAAAAAGCGGUCAAUCUCACCAGCUGUUGAGGAAAAUAACGAGUGCAUCGCGGAAGAAAACACAGUAAACUCUUGUAAACGCGUCAAGACCGAGGCAGCUAUGUAAAUCAAGAGUCACCACGUGUCAUGAACUGAUCUCCGGAAGCGGACAAAUUAAUAAAUACUUUGGUUCCAAAUGUCACUCGAGAGAUUUAUACAAAUCGAUAUGAUAAAAUAAUUAUCAUUAUAGAUAUGACAAUUACGGCAG